rnacentral:lncRNA from 1 species
GAUAAAGGGUAAAUGUUGCCGGAUUUACUGCUAAAGUUCUGAUAGCCCUGCUUUAUCACCUUUUGUACAGGACUCUUCAUAAGACUGAUUGAUGAUGACUACCUUGUUCUUAUCAAAAUUUAUUUUCCUUAAGACUCCUCUUAGGAAGUAACUCUAGAUGCUCUGUAAUACAAUAGAGAUUUCCUGCUGUCUUUGUCCAGGGGAUUGUGGUAUGCCAGCGGAGGGCACGGUGUGAACGGAGAGGGCAGGGGAACAUGAAUAGGUCUACUCUGAUGGGACUGGCACUCUCUGGCUCUGCAGUGGAAUAAAAGUGACAGUGAGGAUUAGAGGAGAGUUCUUCAGCUUGCAGGAUAAGCUGAUCUUCCAUACUUCAGUGACAGAAAAGCCUUAAGUGGUGUUUGUGUGGAAGAAGUACAAUGAGACGUGCUGGUGUAAAUGUGUCUGGCUCUGUGUGCUCUACACCAGCCCUUAAGCUGGGGAAGAAAGUUCCUUCAAAAGCCUGUUCCUGGCUCUCAAGUGGCCCAGCCUGUGACCUGGGGUUAUUGUUCAAGUUCAUCGGUGUCCAGACAAGCCAGUCUGGGGAUUGACACAUCAGAUGAAGAUAUGAAGUGGUGGGUGUGCAUGGAGGCAGGCCAGGCGCCCAGCGAGUCCCUGCGCUUCUCACUUGGUUAACACCUCACACAGAGCACAGAGCCAGGAAUACACUGCCUCUCUCGCUCUGUGACUAAAACAGUUAAUUUGGACCUGCAGGGUCUUCUGCUCCUCAGAGCCUCCACUGAAGGAGGUGGGAGAUAUUCUUAACUAAUGUCGGAAAAACAAGAAUGAUUAUCGUACAAUGUUUCACCAAUUUUCUGUGUGUGUUUCUGCAAUGCGUUUUUCUCAGUCCAUUUUCUUAUUGGCAAAUGCACUUUUAUGUUGCAAAGAUCGUUUUUUAUUAAACUAAGAGAUUUUAGCAUUAUUUUUGCCAUAUGAAGGUUACAUUAAGUCUUGGAAAUGCUUUAUCAUGCCUUCAUGAUUUUUUCCCUCUACUUUACAAAUGAAUUGUAUGUAUAGUUUUUUUUUUUUUGUUGUUGUUGUUGUUUGUUUUACUUAUUGAUUGAUUCCAGUUUUUAUACAAAUUAUGACUCACAGUACAUGGUUCCUGACGAGACAAAGGUUUCAGUCAAUAAUAAAAAAAAAAAAUAAUAAUAAUAAAAAUGUUGUGGUAAAUAUUAAUAGUUAAAUUAUUAGUUUAAUUUAAUUGAUUUCAUCUAAGCAAUCUGUAAAUGUAAAGUUACAAGUUUAUUUAUGAAAAAAGUUGAAGCAUUUUUUAGAGUUAUAUUCAUAUUUGAAUUACAGUUUCAAUAGCAAUAUUUCAAACCUGGCAUUUUAUUACUUGUCUCUUAAAUAUUAUUUUGUGUAUUUAAGAUGCAUAAAAUUCUUGUUGUGUUUUUAAAUGAUUUGUGUGUGUGUGUGUGUGAUAACCUGGUGUGAUAACCUCACAAAUGAUUGAGGUUGAGAAACUCAACAGUAGCGUGUAUUUACAUGCAAGGAAUGUGACAUUGUAUUA